rnacentral:lncRNA from 1 species
UGGGUUUGAAUUCUAUGGGCCACAAAGACGCAAAAAAAUUCAGAACUUUAUAUUUUUUUUGUUUUUAUUUGUGCCAAACCUGGAAAGGGGGUUUGCCAUGUGCCCAAACCUGGCACACAGGAAACAUUGAGACUUUGCCAUGUUCCUACAUGGUGACACACGGCAAACCCUGCCGUCAAGCCGUCCGUCAUCUUUUUUUUUUUGCCGUGUGUCAAGAUUGCCUCGUG